AUGCCUCAGAUUUCCGUAGUGAUUCCACAUUUGAUAUUAUUCAGUGUAAGGCUCCUUGUUGGCACAAGGCCGUCACUAAGGAAGUGCUCACAGGGUGAACGCGGUGGGGCUGUUGAAGGAACGGGUGAAGCUUGUGGGAUGAGAGAAGGGGCGGAGAGUGUGUCUGGGCGGAGGCUCCCAGGAGGAGGCGGCGCGGGCUGCGGGGCGGGGCGGAUCCUCCUCCAGCUCCUGCUCGGAGCCCCCGUCCGCCUCAGGAAGACGGAGGAUGAGCCCCUGACCUGCGCGUGGUGGGAGUUGAGGGUGGGGCCGGUCAGGGUUCCCAGAGCCCGCACUGCGCCCCCCGCCCCGGCCCCCGGGAGCCCUGAUGACAGCCUCGCUGUCGGUGUCUUUCCCGGGGGCCGCCCCCGUGACCGGAUCGUUCGUGUACACACAGGACGUUUCCUGAGGCAGUUUAAGCCUGAGCGUCGUUUCUUCAACAGGACGGAGCGGGUGCGGUACCUGGACAGAGAAAUCUAUAACCAGGAGGAGCACGUGCGCUUCGACAGCGACGUGGGGGAGUUCCGGGCGGUGACGGAGCUGGGGCGGCCUAUCGCGGAGCACUUCAACAGCCAGAAGGACCACAUGGAGGAGACGCGGGCCGCGGUGGACACUGUGUGCAGGCACAACCGCGGGACUGGUGAGAGCAUCACAGGGCAGCGGGGAGUUUCUCCUAAGGUGACUGUGUAUCCUGCAAAGACCCAGCCCCUGCAGCACCACAACCUCCUGGUCUGCUCUGUGAGUGGUUUCCGGGCAGCAUUGAAGUCAGGUGGUUCUGGAAUGGCCAGGAAGAAAAGGCUGGGGUGGUGUUCACAGGCUUGAUCCACAAUGGAGACUGGACUUUCCAGAUGCUGGUGAUGCUGGUGAUGCUGGAAACAGUUCCUCAGAGUGGAGAGGUUUACAUCUGCCGAGUGGAGCACCCAAGCGUAAUGAGCCCUCUCACAGUGCAAUGGAGAGCACAGUCUGAAUCUGCACAGAGCAAGCUGCUGAGUGGAGUCGGGGGCUUUGUGCUGGGCCUGCUCUUCCCUGGGGCAGGGCUGUUCAUCCACUUCAGGAAUCAGAAAGGACACUCUGGACUUCAGCCAACAGGACUCUUGAGCUGAAGUGAAGAUGACCACAUUCAAAGGAGAACCUUUUGCCCCAGCUUUGCAGGAUUAAAAACUUUCCCACUUGGCUCUUAUUCUUCCACAAAAGAGAGCUUUCUCAGGACCUGGUUGCUAUUGGUUCAGCAACUCAGCAGAAAAUGACUCCCCUGUGGCUUCCUGAACUCCUGCCCUUAGUCCUGAAGUCCCAGCAUUGAUGGCAGUUCCUCAUCUUCAAUUUUUAUGCUCCCCUUUACCUAAUCCUUCCUGCCUCCCCUGCAUCGGUACUCACCCUUUGCCACAAACACACUACAUUAUUACAUUUUUCUCAGACAUGGAGUUAAAAUGCAUCUAGUCCAUCAGGCCCCAAGGAAAAAUAAUAAAAAGAAAAGAAAAAGGGAAGAUUAUUUCCCAAUAGAAUAAUGGUUUCUAUAUAUAUGUCAUAAGUAUGAGGGGUAAUAGAUAUGUUAAAUAGCUUGAUUUAGACAUUCCACAAAAUAGGUAUAUAUCAAAACUUCAUGCU